CAGCAGCCCCUGGUGGACGAAAAAAAAGGACUGUUUGGGCCCUGAAUUCUGGUCUGCAGAGCAGCUCAGAAUUCUCCUAGGAGCAAUUUACUUGUUAUGCUCUGAGUACAUUUCCCAGACCUGCAGAUGAGCUCUGUGAAAGCUCAAAAGCUUGACUCUCUCACCAACAGACGUUGGUUCAAUAGAUAUUAGCUCACUGACUGUGUCUCCCUAAUAUCCUGGGAAAAACAAGGCUCCAACACUACAUAUUACCUUAUAUGGCAUUUCUCUCUGACGAACGUAAUGACUCGUGAGGCUCCCUCCUACCUGCCACGCACAUAAAAAGUGACUCCCCAUGGACCAUGGAACGCCACAAAGGAUGUCGUUAUAAAACCUGAUGCACCAAGCACCUUGUUUUUGGAGAAACAUGCAGAUUACAUAGCUUCUUAUGGUGCAAAGAAAGAUGAUUAUGAGUACUGUAUGUCGGAAUAUUUGAGGAUGAGUGGUGUCUACUGGGGACUGACUGUAAUGGAUCUCAUGAGACAGCUGCAACGAAUGACCAAAGAAGAAAUUCUAGCGUUCAUCAAAUCAUGUCAACAUGAGAGCAGUGGAAUAAGUGCCAGUAUAGGUCACGAUCUCACCUUUUAUAUACCCUUAGUGCUGUCCAGAUUCUUACCUUAUGUUGUUGAUGUCAUAAAAUUGUUGACUACGUAAAAAGCCUGCAAAAAGAAGAUGGAUCAUUUGCCGGAGACAAAUGGGGGAACGCCACAAAAGGAUGUCGUUAUAAAACCUGAUGCACCAAGCACCUUGUUUUUGGAGAAACAUGCAGAUUACAUAGCUUCUUAUGGUGCAAAGAAAGACGAUUAUGAGUGCUGUAUGUCAGAAUAUUUGAGGAUGAGUGGUGUCUACUGGGGACUGACUAUAAUGGAUCUCAUGAGACAGCUGCAACGAAUGACCAAAGAAGAAAUCUAGCAUUCAUGAAAUCAUGUCAACAUGAGAGCGGUGGAAUAAGUGCCAGUAUAGGUCACGAUCUCACCUUUUAUAUACCCUUAGUGCUGUCCAGAUUCUUACCUUAUGUUGUUGAUGUCAUAAAAUUGUUGACUACGUAAAAAGCCUGCAAAAAGAAGAUGGAUCAUUUGCCGGAGACAAAUGGGGUAACAUAUCUUCGAAAUCGCAUGGAUAGGUUGACACAUUUCAUGUAAUAAAGCAGUUAAGAAGAAGUCGCUCUGCAUGUUUUUUUCACUAUGUAUUAUGCAUGAACUGCAUUUAUGUCCCUCACUGUAAAAAGGAGCCAUUGUGUAACAGCCAGUCACGUCAUUGCUUUUCUAGAUGACUCAACUUAGAGAAAAAUUGAUAUAAAUAACAAACUGAUCAACCUUCAUAGAAGCUUCUGAAAGCUGAAAACUUGUUAGAGCUUGUGAUGGGGAAGUGCCUUCUCAUUUCAGUGUAAUUUGUACUAGAUAUUAAUCUUUGAGUUUAAUAUCUAGUGAUUUAUAAGUUGUAUAUAUUUAUUGCUUAUAAAAGGAACUACCUCUCUGCAUAGUAAUGACACAAAUCUGUGUCUGCAUUCACAGCUUCUAAAACUACUGAUCUCGUUUGAUUUUUAUUUUUAAAGGGUGGGUAUGUUCAUCUUUUCUAUUGACAUUUUAAAGUAUUUUUUAUAUGAAAUAUUAAAAUAUUUCAGUAUUGUAUCCUGUUGAAUAUCAGUUACAACAGAACCAUUGUUUCAUUUUUCAAUUAAUAAAAUGAACUGAUCGAGAUAUUUCAACAUAUGUAAAUACAUAAACAUCAAUUUGAAGUUGACAAGCUAUGUGUUGGUAUUAAAAUAGUCAUCUGUAUUCAGCGCUAACUUUUACAUUUCAGCCAAUUUGUCAUAAUAUAGUAAUAACAUGCACAGGCAGGGAUAUGACCAAUACUAACAAGAAUGUAAAUUUUCAGACUGGAUUACUGAAAUACACUAUAAAUGGGGCUACCAUUGAGGAAAAUUCAGGAGCAAAAGCUAGUACAGAAUGCGGUUACCUGCUUGAUUGGUGAUAUGAGCUACAACAAGGAUAUUAAACCAUUUCUGAAAAACUGCACUCAUUCCCUAUUUGCAUCUGGGGUACAGUUUAAAGUGUUGACUUGAGUUAUAAUUACUAUGGUCUAAUCAACACUGGGAAAAGAAUUACUGGUAUAGCACGCACACAGACACACACACCCCCAUGUAUGCAUAGUUGCUGGUAUAACUAUUGAUUCCAUUAGCAAAAUAACAAUUUUUUUUAAAGAAUAUAACUAUCUACACUAAGGCUUUUUUGUCACUAUAGAAAUGUCAUAAAAAUCACUCCUCUAACUGAUGAAACUAAUACUUGCAAAAAUUUCUAGUGUAGACCUUGCCUGAGACACCUUCUUUCUUGAUCUGUGCCUUCAUACCAGCUCAAGACCUUGAGCAUUGUGGAGACUGGUGUUGAUGUAUUCUUGAGGGUCCACUGCUCUUUAACUUGUUUUGUCCAAAGCUGUGAGUCUUUGUGGCCUUCAGAUUAUGAUACUGAAGAGCUGAGAGUGGGCAAUGUGGGUAAUUAACUGGUGAAUGAAUCAGUGUUGACAUUUUUCAACUAGUUCUUUCUAUUCAGUGCACAUACUGUGCACUGGGUGCCUUUUAUAAACUGAAAAAUAAAUAGCAUAUUUACAAAUUUAUCUCAA